GGAGGUAUGGCUUAAGUAUUAGAGCACCUGCCUAACAAAUGGGUGGUCCUGAGUUCAAAACUUAGUACCACAA
rnacentral:tRNA from 1 species